GACGUGAGGGCGCGAGCGUUUGUCCGGGAUUUAUUGGGCGUAAAGAGCUCGUAGGCGGCUUGUCGCGUCGAACUGUGAAAACUCGGGGCUCAACUCCGAGCUUGCAGUCGAUACGGGCAGGCUAGAGUUCGGUAGGGGAGACUGGAAUUCCUGGUGUAGCGGUGAAAUGCGCAGAUAUCAGGAGGAACACCGGUGGCGAAGGCGGGUCUCUGGGCCGAUACUGACGCUGAGGAGCGAAAGCGUGGGGAGCGAACAGG
rnacentral:rRNA from 1 species